rnacentral:tRNA from 1 species
GUCAAGAUGGCCGAGUGGUCAAGGCGUAUGACUUGAACUGGGUGCUGCUCACUGCUCUCGCGGUUUGCUUUGCUCUGCUAUAUCAUGUUAUCAUAUCUCUUCGGAGGCGUAGGUUCAAACCCUGCUCUUGACG